rnacentral:rRNA from 1 species
GAAACGCGAUAGGUAAUGUGAAUUGCAGAAUUCCGUGAAUCAUCGAAUCUUUGAACGCACCUUGCGCUCCAUGGUAUUCCGUGGAGCAUGCCUGUUUGAGUGCCGUGAAUUCUCUCUCCCCAAGCGGUUGCGAUUGCACUGCUUUGGCGGACGAGGUUGGAUGGGUGCUUCUGCCUGUUUCGCAAGAAACAGGCUCGCCCGAAAUGCAUUAGCGCCUUUGGGACACACUCUGCAAACCGCUCUGAAAGGGAGGGCGGCAGAGGGGAUGGAGGAACUCCGCCCGUCAGCUAUACCAAACUUUGCCCCAGGCAAGCGCAUGGCAUGAUACGUCAUUUGCUAUGUGUGCGUCCUGAGGCAAGGGGCCGAUGUGGUGCCUUUGUCACUCUGUGG